GACUUCGGUUGAAUCACCUUAACUUUAUUCAUCUGUUUCACAGGUUCCACCGGCACCGGAGAGGUCCGCAGAGGAGACAAUGACAACAAAAAUGAUAUGGGACAACCUGAUGCGUCAGAAUGAAGAAUUGUACCGUUUCUUGAGGUGGAUGUUGAACCAACCAACUUUGCCGGUAAUCCUAAACCAGCAGAAGACCAAACACCUCAUCAC